AUGCACAGACACAAGGCAGCUCCCCUCCUCCUCCCAGCGCGGCUCGGUGACCUCUUCCUGCUGUCAGGAAAUGGGGUGAGGGCUGGAGGGACAAAAAGCGCAGAGCUCAGGCCCCGUUACACCCGCACACCAGCCAGAAGGCCCUGCCGGAGGCCCAGGACACGUCCGCACCGUCCCGGCCUCCUCGGCCCAGGCCCCGCCGCGUGGCCCCGCCGCCCGCACCCCGCCAAGGCCGCGCCGUCCCCGUCCCAACCGCCGUCCCCUCCCGCCGCUCCGUUCCGCCCCGCCGCCGCGCGCUCCCUGCCCGGCCUCCCCCCGCCGGCGCCCGGCCGCGGCGCUCACGCAAGGCCGGGGAUGCGCGGCCUACCGCCUCCCCGCGGGGCGCGGGCCCCAGCAGGCCGCAGGCCGCGCUUACUCCGGGGUGGGGUGCUCCGGGUCGUAGAAGUCCCCCAUGGUGGGGCGGGCGCUGUCGCGGGGUCGGGAGGGCAGCGCGGCCCCUCCCGCGGGCAGGGCCGGGCCGGGAGCCCCUCUCCGCCCUCCGAGCCCGGUGGGGCUCGGCUCCGCGGCCGCCGCCUCACAUCCUCCGUGGGGCCCCGCGCUGCAGCGGCCGCCGGCGGGGCCCCGCCAUCCGCGCCGCGCCGUGCCCUGCCCGCCCGCCGAGCGCCGAUCCGCCCCGGCCCGGCCCGGCUCCUCCCCGCCGCGACGUCCGCGCCGCCGCCACCGCCGCUCCCCCCCCGCUUCCGAACGGGGCUGCGGAACGGCGCCGGGAUCCAACGGGACCCACCGGGACAGCCGGGAUCCAACGGCACUGCUGGGAUUCAACCGGCUGGCUGGCACCACCGGGAUAAGCGGGACCCGGUGGGACAACCACCACCCACCCCCCACCCUGGGCAACCAGGACAACCGGGACCCAAUGGGACAACCGGUACCAACGGGACAACCACUACCCAAUGGGACAACCACCCCCCCACUCCCCACUCUGGGCAAGCAGGACAACCAGGACAACUGGGACCCAACGGGACAACCAGGACCUCGCAGGGAAACCUGGACAAUCAACAUUCACUGGGACAGCCGGUACCUAUUGGGACAACCAGGACUAAGUGGGACAACUAG
rnacentral:lncRNA from 1 species